AACGAACGCUGGCGGCAGGCUUAACACAUGCAAGUCGAACGGAUCCUUCGGGAUUAGUGGCAGACGGGUGAGUAACGCGUGGGAACGUACCCUUUGCUACGGAAUAACUCAGGGAAACUUGAGCUAAUACCGUAUGUGCCCUACGGGGGAAAGAUUUAUCGGCAAAGGAUCGGCCCGCGUUGGAUUAGCUAGUUGGUGGGGUAAUGGCCUACCAAGGCGACGAUCCAUAGCUGGUCUGAGAGGAUGAUCAGCCACACUGGGACUGAGACACGGCCCAGACUCCUACGGGAGGCAGCAGUGGGGAAUAUUGGACAAUGGGCGCAAGCCUGAUCCAGCCAUGCCGCGUGAGUGAUGUAGGUCUUAGGAUUGUAAAGCUCUUUCACCGGUGAAGAUAAUGACGGUAGCCGGAGAAGAAGCCCCGGCUAACUUCGUG
rnacentral:rRNA from 1 species